rnacentral:rRNA from 1 species
CUACGGGAGGCAGCAGUGGGGAAUUUUGGACAAUGGGGGCAACCCUGAUCCAGCCAUUCCGCGUGAGUGAAGAAGGCCUUCGGGUUGUAAAGCUCUUUCAGCAGGAACGAAACGGUACGCUCUAACAUAGCGUGCUAAUGACGGUACCUGCAGAAGAAGCACCGGCUAACUACGUGCCAGCAGCCGCGGUAAUACGUAGGGUGCGAGCGUUAAUCGGAAUUACUGGGCGUAAAGCGUGCGCAGCCGGAUUGUUAAGCAAGACGUGAAAUCCCCGGGCUUAACCUGGGAAUGGCGUUUUGAACUGGCAGUCUAGAGUGUGCCAGAGGGGGGUAGAAUUCCACGUGUAGCAGUGAAAUGCGUAGAGAUGUGGAGGAAUACCGAUGGCGAAGGCAGCCCCCUGGGAUAACACUGACGCUCAUGUACGAAAGCGUGGGUAGCAAACAGGAUUAGAUACCCUGGUAGUCCACGCCCUAAACGAUGUCAACUGGUUGUUGGGGGAGUGAAAUCCCUUAGUAACGAAGCUAACGCGUGAAGUUGACCGCCUGGGGAGUACGGUCGCAAGAUUAAAACUCAAAGGAAUUGACGGGGACCCGCACAAGCGGUGGAUGAUGUGGAUUAAUUCGAUGCAACGCGAAAAACCUUACCUACCCUUGACAUGUCCAGAAUCCUGCAGAGAUGCGGGAGUGCCCGAAAGGGAAUUGGAACACAGGUGCUGCAUGGCUGUCGUCAGCUCGUGUCGUGAGAUGUUGGGUUAAG